rnacentral:rRNA from 1 species
AGAGUUUGAUCCUGGCUCAGAAUCAACGCUGGCGGCGUGCCUAACACAUGCAAGUCGUGCGCGAAAGCCUCCGCAAGGGGGUGAGUAGAGCGGCAAACGGGUGAGUAACGCGUGGGUGACCUACCCUCGAGUGGGGGAUAACAGUCCGAAAGGAUUGCUAAUACCGCAUGACAUCCUGUCCUUGGACGGAUGGAGAUCAAAGCCGGGGAUCGUAAGACCUGGCGCUUGAGGAGGGGCCCGCGUUCGAUUAGCUAGUUGGUGAGGUAACGGCUCACCAAGGCAACGAUCGAUAGCCGGCCUGAGAGGGCGGACGGCCACACUGGGACUGAGACACGGCCCAGACUCCUACGGGAGGCAGCAGUGGGGAAUUGUUCGCAAUGGGCGCAAGCCUGACGACGCAACGCCGCGUGGAGGAUGAAGAUCUUCGGGUCGUAAACUCCUGUCGACCGGGACGAACUUCAUGCGGGCUAACAUCCCGCAUGAUUGACGGUACCGGUGGAGGAAGCCCCGGCUAACUCCGUGCCAGCCGCCGCGGUAAUAC